UGCAAACGAAAAGGACGAUCUACCACUUUCUUUUGUAAUUAAACUUCGUGCUGCGCGGAGCAACACUAAAGGAUUUAAACGUUUAAUUCCCCUAUAGCGCUAUUGGUUUGGCAACGACUGCGGCAAUAAGAAGUACGGAUAAUAAUAUUAUUUAUUACCACUUUUUACUUAAUUAAAUUUUCCGAUUUCCAAUGGAGUUUAAUCUUUCACUUUAUUUUCUUAGGUGCUUUUCGUCGAAAAUUUAACUCCGACAAAGAAGUUUUUAUUUCCGUUUCAAAGAAGCACUUCCAAUAUGCACACAACCGGCAAAAAAAUUCGCGCCUAUCUGCAAAAAAAA